AUUUUGAGUUUUGGGCCCCAAAAUUAUUCAUUUUUGACAGCCUGAAUUUUGAUGUAAUGAAUAAGUAAAACAGCAUUUUCAGCAGUGCUUGAGUUAAAUGAUUAAAUGUGCUAGAUGUUAUGCAAGGCUUAUAAGCUUUUGUAUGAGUGAAAUAUACACAUGUCAUAUUGUUGUGUUUUAAACAUUAUGAAUCUAAUUAUAAUUAUUGUUAAUUGGGCACCCUAUCGUAAAUUUUUUAUUGGUAAAUUUUUUAUUAAUCCUAUACCUAUGCUAUUUUCAUACAUCCUUAAUUCCAAGCAAUUUAGUUUUCUUAGUUUUCCAAGUUGAAUAUCAUUUAAAUUUUGCUAAUUUAAAACACCUAUUUAAUCUAUCAUUUAUUUAUGAUGCUUAUCAGAACAUUUGUAGCAUAAUAUUUUAUCACAAGUGUGUAAAAAAUUGAAGGCGAAAGGUAAACAAUUAAAAUACCAUAAAAGGCAUAAAUACUUUAUUUAUACUUAUCUAUUAAAUAAAAGGUUAGAUAAUGUCACAAGUUUAUAGAUAUAUUGAUAUGUUUGCAAAAAGUUAAUUUCUGGCACUUAUCGAAAAUGAUAGAGAUAAAAUGAUGUCAAAUAACAUAGGACCAUUAUUAAAAAUUCCAUACAUUCCAAUCUCAGUUGUUAUAAUUUUUAAAAACGCUAGUUAGUAAGUUGUAUGUAUGUAAUGUAGUAAAUUUUUUUUUACAAAUUAUUAUUAUAAAUUAAAUUUUAUAUUAAUAUACCUAUUUAUUACAUUGUUGUUGCUAGUGCUAAGCGAAUGGAAUAUCAUUGUGUUUUUAAUAUUAAACGAAUUUUAUAUCAAUUAAAUAUCUUCUGUGAG